ACGUAGGUCACAAGCGUUGUCCGGAAUUACUGGGUGUAAAGGGAGCGCAGGCGGGAGAACAAGUUGGAAGUGAAAUCCAUGGGCUCAACCCAUGAACUGCUUUCAAAACUGUUUUUCUUGAGUAGUGCAGAGGUGGGCGGAAUUCCCGGUGUAGCGGUGGAAUGCGUAGAUAUCGGGAGGAACACCAGUGGCGAAGGCGGCCUACUGGGCACCAACUGACGCUGAGGCUCGAAAGUGUGGGUAGCAAACAG
rnacentral:rRNA from 1 species